rnacentral:lncRNA from 1 species
AACUUACCAAUUACACCACCUCUAACAUAUUUGCUUGCCUCCACUUAAUUGAACUAUUGAAUUCUCAUGCAUGGGUAAUAAACUUACCAAUUACACCACCUCUGACAUAUUUGCUUGCCUCCACUUAAUUGAACUAUUGAAUUCUCACACUACAACAAAAACAGUGUAUAGCAAUAUUUUUAAAUAUCGGUAUUGGUAAAAAAAAGUGCUGCUGGCUAAAUUACCAACAUUUUUCAAAAGUGUUGCUAUAUGUGGGGUCGCUAUAUGUAGACCCGUCUUAAUGUUUGGCACCCACUUCUCCAACGACCUGUGGUGGAGGGACACGUGGCGAUUGUAGCCUUCUACGGUCUCUAUGAGAUCCUCACGGCCAAACUCCAGCAGUUGGAACCCUACCUCGUCGGCUGCGGCGGUGGAGGAGGAGAAGGGGAAAUGGUGAUCAUUUUUUUUCCUUUUUUAUUUGUAAUUGGGCCGAGUGGGUUGGGUGUGGUUGCUUCAGUAGAAGAACUUUUUGUUUUUGAUUGGAUUGGGCUUUAUAUUUAGGCCUUAACAUAUUUUUUUAAAAAAAGUUUUGGCAUAAAUAGGAUACUUACAUAAAAGUGUCCCAAAAAUGUGUUCAUAUAAUCUAAUUGGGAUAAUUGUCUAUAUACUCCUCAUACGUUUGAAAAUAUCCGAUUUACCCCUACUUUUUUUCUUUCUAAAAUACCCCUCAUAUGUUCCACCAUUAUUGCAAAAUACCUCCGCAGUUAUCUCCUGUUAAGUUAACUUGGGUUAAACAUGAGUUAAAUAUAUACUACAGUUAAAAAAAAUUAAAAUGCCAAUUUUGCCCUUAACUUAAGGGCAAAUAAGAAAUGUUGGUGAUGGUAGAGGGGUAUAUUGGAAAAGACCAAAAGUCAAAAUGCUUUUUGUGCCCCUGACUUUAAGGGCAAAUAAGAAAGUCAGUGACGGUGGAAACAUAUUUGAAAGGGCAAAAUAGUAAUUUCACAGAGAUAACAGAGUUUAUUAUCAGAUUUUAACUCUAGGGGUAUAUUAGAAAUAGGUUGGAACGUAGAAAGGGUAUUUUCAAUAUUAGCCUUCUAAGAGGGGUAAAUCGAAAAGUCGGAAACUUUUCAAGAGUAUAUAAGCACUUGCCCCAAUCUAAUUUUGUUGUAGUGAGAAUAGAGUUUGUUCUCAGGGUUUGAUUUCACGAAACCAACAUAGAGUGAGCC